GAUGAACGCUGGCGGCGUGCAUAACACAUUCAAGUCGAACGGUGACGAGGACUUCGGUCCUCUGAUCAGUGGCGGACGGGUGAGUAACGCGUGAGCAACCUGCCCUAUAUUGCGGGAUAACAACCGGAAACAGUUGCUAAUACCGCAUAAUGUACACGGAUCGCAUGAUCUGUGUACCAAAGCUUUAUGUGCUGAAAGAUGGUCUCGCGUCUGAUUAGCUAGUUGGUGAGGUAACGGCUCACCAAGGCGACGAUCAGUAGCCGGUCUGAGAGGAUGAACGGCCACAUUGGGACUGAGAUACGGCCCAGACUCCUACGGGAGGCAGCAGUGGGGAAUAUUGGGCAAUGGGGGAAACCCUGACCCAGCAACGCCGCGUGAAGGAAGAAGGCCUUGGGUUGUAAACUUCUUUUAGUCAGGGACGAAGAACGUGACGGUACCUGCAGAAAAGACAACGGCUAACUACGUG
rnacentral:rRNA from 1 species